rnacentral:lncRNA from 1 species
GAACGUUUACGGUAGGAACUAUUCUCUGUACCAAAAGAAACGUUGGGGGAAGUCCAACAAUUCUUGCGGCAGAACUUAUUUUCUGUACCAAAAGAAACGUUGGGGGAAGCCCAACAACGUUUACAACAAAAACAAUCUCCUGUACACAAAGAAACAUUGGGGGAAGCUAAGGAACGUUUAUUGCAGGAACAACACUCUCAUGUUUUGAAGUCUCUAGGUAUCAUUAGGGUUAAUACUGAAGUUAACCCUAAAGAAGAAUGUCAAG